AAUCAUAUAGUUUAAAUAAAAUGUUAAAUUGCAAGUUUAAAGAUGGUCAAUUCCUAAGAUUU
rnacentral:tRNA from 1 species